rnacentral:rRNA from 1 species
GAUGAACGCUGGCGGCGUGCCUAAUACAUGCAAGUCGAGCGAACAGACGAGGAGCUUGCUCCUCUGACGUUAGCGGCGGACGGGUGAGUAACACGUGGAUAACCUACCUAUAAGACUGGGAUAACUUCGGGAAACCGGAGCUAAUACCGGAUAAUAUAUUGAACCGCAUGGUUCAAUAGUGAAAGACGGUUUUGCUGUCUCUUAUAGAUGGAUCCGCGCCGCAUUAGCUAGUUGGUAAGGUAACGGCUUACCAAGGCAACGAUGCGUAGCCGACCUGAGAGGGUGAUCGGCCACACUGGAACUGAGACACGGUCCAGACUCCUACGGUAGGCAGCAGUAGGGAAUCUUCCGCAAUGGGCGAAAGCCUGACGGAGCAACGCCGCGUGAGUGAUGAAGGUCUUCGGAUCGUAAAACUCUGUUAUUAGGGAAGAACAAAUGUGUAAGUAACUAUGCACGUCUUGACGGUACCUAAUCAGAAAGCCACGGCUAACUACGUG